rnacentral:misc_RNA from 1 species
AAUGCAGACACGAGAGAUUUUGGCAUUGAAAGUUUCCCGUGUUUUCCACUGUCCUCAGCAAUUGCAUUAAUCAAACUAAAUCAUAAAGAGCAGCAGCAUCUAAAAUAGAAACAAGUACAAACCAGACUCAAAAUUAACUGCCGUAGCUAACAAAUUAGCGACAGGAUUCACUGAUUGUUUGAUAAAAACAACAUACCAACAAUUCAUUCCAAUAAGAAGCAUCCACCGCAUGGUACCUCCUCGAAUAGCCUGAACAAGCAACAAGGAAUCGAUCUCCGGGA